rnacentral:rRNA from 1 species
GGAAUAUUGGACAAUGGGCGCAAGCCUGAUCCAGCCAUGCCGCGUGUGUGAAGAAGGCCUUCGGGUUGUAAAGCACUUUCAGCGGGGAGGAAGGGUGUUGUGUUAAUAGCACCGCAUUUGUACGUUACCCGCAGAAGCAGCACCGGCUAACUCCGGUCCAGCAGCAGCGGUAAUACGGAGGGUGCCAGCGUUAAUCGGAAUUACUGGGCGUAAAGCGAACGUAGGCGGUAUGUUAAGUUGGAUGUGAAAGCCCCGGGCUCAACCUGGGAAUUGCAUUCAAAACUGGCAUGCUAGAGUAUGUGAGAGGGGGGUAGAAUUCCAAGUGUAGCGGUGAAAUGCGUAGAGAUUUGGAGGAAUACCAGUGGCGAAGGCGGCCCCCUGGCACAAUACUGACGCUCAGGUGCGAAAGCGUGGGGAGCAAA